rnacentral:rRNA from 1 species
AUUGAACGCUGGCGGCAUGCCUUACACAUGCAAGUCGAACGGUAACAGGUUAAGCUGACGAGUGGCGAACGGGUGAGUAAUGUAUCGGAACGUGCCCAGUCGUGGGGGAUAACUACUCGAAAGAGUGGCUAAUACCGCAUACGACCUGAGGGUGAAAGCGGGGGACCGUAAGGCCUCGCGCGAUUGGAGCGGCCGAUAUCAGAGUAGCUAGUUGGUGGGGUAAAAGCCCACCAAGGCGACGAUCUGUAGCUGGUCUGAGAGGACGACUAGCCACACUGGGACUGAGACACGGACCAGACUCCUACGGGAGGCAGCAGUGGGGAAUGUUGGACAAUGGACGCAAGUCUGAUCCAGCCAUGCCGCGUGCGGGAAGAAGGCCUUCGGGUUGUAAACCGCUUUUGUCAGGGAAGAAACGAGUUUCUCUAAUACAGAGACUUAAUGACGGUACCUGAAGAAUAAGCACCGGCUAACUACGUGCCAGCCGCCGCGGUAACAC